CCCAGACUCCUACGGGAGGCAGCAGUGGGGAAUAUUGCACAAUGGGGGAAACCCUGAUGCAGCGACGCCGCGUGAGUGAAGAAGUAUCUCGGUACGUAAAGCUCUAUCAGCAGGGAAGAAAAUGACGGUACCUGACUAAGAAGCCCCGGCUAACUACGUGCCAGCAGCCGCGGUAAUACGUAGGGGGCAAGCGUUAUCCGGAUUUACUGGGUGUAAAGGGAGCGUAGACGGUGAUGCAAGUCAGAAGUGAAAGCCCGGGGCUCAACUCCGGGACUGCUUUUGAAACUGUGUAACUGGAGUGCAGGAGAGGUAAGCGGAAUUCCUGGUGUAGCGGUGAAAUGCGUAGAUAUCAGGAGGAACACCAGUGGCGAAGGCGGCUUACUGGACUGUAACUGACGUUGAGGCUCGAAAGCGUGGGGAGCAAACAGGAUUAGAUACCCGGGUACU
rnacentral:rRNA from 1 species